rnacentral:misc_RNA from 1 species
GUUCUGAAUCCUUGUAGGAACUGAACUUGACCAGCAUCACAAUUCUUAAUGUUGAGCUUACACCUUGUCCAGUGUUGUCGCGGAUCAGACGAGGGUGGUGCCAAAACAUUUUGUAUCUGCCAAGAAUCAUAAGCCGAGUUGAGAACAAAAAUCGGGGUUGUUAUAUGCUUAAUAAUUUCACUUGGGAAGAAACACUGAGUUGGUUCUGCUGUCGAGAGACACUUCCUUUGCAAGCUUUUCUCUACAUUCUGAAGAUGGACUGUCUCCUCAAAGAUAGAUCGCAUGGUCCUUUUUCCGGAAAUAUCCUUCUCAUCAAGGAAAAAUCCAGCAUCUGCUAGACAUUUAACGAUGCCCACCUUGGGCAAGAGUUCAUGAAAACGGUCACAAUGCAAGAAAGUAGCCAAACCACCAGCAGAACAUCCUGUAAGUAAAGCCUUUUUUGCAUUUGCAAGGCCUUUUGACUUGAGAUCACUCAUAACUGCCUCCCAUAUUCGUUGGCCUCUGAAGAACAACUUUGUACCAUUCUUUUUUAUUUCUCCUUCAACAUCACCCGAGAAGGAUGCACCAUCGCAG